CCUUUGGGGUUGGCCCAUCGCCUGUUUCCGUGUGUUCAGCCUUCGAGCGUUUUUUCCCUGUGUCCUGUAUUCCUGAGUUCUUGUUUUCCCUUGGAUUUUGACCAUUUUUUUUCGGAUUUCCCUUUGCCUGUCGUUUACUGGACAC